UAUAAAAGAUUUGUUAAUUUUCAAAUUUAACAGGUUUGAAAAAAAAGAGAGGAUGCGAGAGGAUUUAGGAUUUAAGGUUUCUAUCUGGAGGAAGUCGAAAGAGAUAAGAGUUUCUCAUUUAUUUAAUACUAUAUAGAAACUUUGUCAAUUUUCAAAUUUAUAAGAUUUGAAAGAAUGAGAGAAUGUGAGAAUGGAGAAGAUUUAAGGUUUAAAAUUCUCUCUUGAGAAAGAAAGAAAAAAGAGAUAUUCUAAAAUUAGAAAAAAAAAAUCAUCACAACAAUAAAUUCAUGAUUUAGCGGCAUUUACUCCGUAGUAUUUAUUUAAAUAACGCUAAUUAAUAUAUUUAACAGUAUUACUUGAUAAGUGCAGCUAGAUUUAAUAAUUUAGUCGCAAUUUGCUAUUAAUAUUAUAAAAUAGAAUAAAUUAGCAGCAUAAAUUAGUGAAAGCUGCUGAAGUUUUCAGUAUUUUAUAAAAUAUGACAUUAAAUGUAAUAAAGUAGCAGCAUUUAUUGCUAAAUGCAGCAAUAUUUGCUCCGCAAUAUUUAUUUAAAUUAUGCCAAUUAAAAUAUUUAGCAGUAUUAUUUGAUAAUUGCAGCUAGAUUUAAUUGUUUAGCGGCAAUUUACUAUUAAUGUUGCAAAAUAGAAUAAAUUAACAGCAUAAAUUAGUGAAUGCCGCUAAAUAUAAUAAACUAGCUGCACUUGUUACUAAAUAUCAUUACUAAUUAAUAUAUAAUUAUUAAUAUAUUUCUUUUUAUUUAGAAUUAAAAAUUUUAAAAUUAAAGUUUAAAAUUUGAAACAUAUAAUUUUAAAAAUUAAACUUAUAAUUUAAAAUUUAAAAUUUUAAAAUUUAUAUUUUAAAUUUUAAAUUCUAAAAUUUUUAAUUUUUAAUUUUUAAUUUUAAUUUUAAAAUUUUAAUUUUAAAAUUUUAAAAUUUAUUUUAAAAUUAAAAUUUCAAAUUUAAAACUAUUAAUUUUGAAACUUAAAAUUUGAUAUAUGAAAAUUAAAAAUUUAAAUUUAGUAUCUAAAUUUAAAAUUUUAAAAUUUUAAAAAUUUAAAAUAUAAGACUUAAAAUUUAAAAAAUUAAAAUAUACAUAAUUAAUAGUCACUAGGGCAAGUGGCAAAGGGCUUGGUGGUUGAUACUCGAGGUCUCAAGUACGAAUUCUAGUUGAUUUAUAUUUCAAGUAAAGUUUAUUUCUAAAAAAAAUAAACAAAGCAGGUAGCAUAUAAAAAAAAUUAAAAAUUAAAUUUGAAAUAAAAUUAAAAUUUUAAAAUUUUAAUUUUUAAAAUCAGAUAUUUGUAUUAACAGCAUUAUAUUUAUGUGCCACUAAUAAACAAUUUAAAAUUAGCAUUUAAUCUCUUUUAACGGUAUGUUCCUAAUGACACUAAUUGAUUUAUAUUGGCGGCAUUUAUUUUAAAUGUUGCUAAUACUUUUAGCAACAUUGGUAUAGUCAGCAUUUAGUGUCAUAUGCUGCUAAAACUUUUAGCAGUAUUUGUUGAUCAUUUAGCAGAAUAAAUUAAUGUUACUAAUGAUUAAUUUUCUAGUAGUGCCUUUUUGAUAUAAAAGUCAAUGCGGAAAUACCUUCUUUUUUUAAAAAAAAUCUGACCCCUCAGGGUAUGACAGAUCCGCUACAAAUAUAGGGAGUCCACUGUUCACACGGACAGAGUCUCCUCUAUAUUUACACGGUGUCGCACAAGUAUAAGAUAUACAAUACAAGAUACAAUCAUCACAUAUGAAUAUCUAUAUAUUCAUACACCAUUCACAUUCACAUUCACAUCUAUCUAUUUAAAAUGUUUCCUAUCCGUAAACUCAUUUGAAACACUAAGUCAUGAAAACCAAUAAAACUUUUUAAAAAUCGUUUCCCGCAUCCUUUCC
rnacentral:lncRNA from 1 species